rnacentral:pre_miRNA from 1 species
UACAUACUCCCUCCGUUCGGAAUUACUCGUCCAAGAAAUGAAUGUAUCUAGAUGUAUUUUAGUUGUUGAUACAUCCAUUUUUGUGACAAGUAAUUCCGAACGAAGGGAGUACUAA